UAAGGAAUAUUGGACAAUGGACGCAAGUCUGAUCCAGCCAUGCCGCGUGAAGGAUGACUGCCCUCUGGGUUGUAAACUUCUUUUAUAGGGGAAGAAAGUUAUUUUUUAGGAUAUUUGACGGUACCCUAUGAAUAAGCACCGGCUAACUCCGUGCCAGCAGCCGCGGUAAUACGGAGGGUGCAAGCGUUAUCCGGAUCACUGGGUUUAAAGGGUGCGUAGGCGGGUAUGUAAGUCAGUGGUGAAAUACCGGAGCUUAACUUCGGAACUGCCCAUUGAUACUAUAUAUCUUGAAUAUUGUGGAGGUAAGCGGAAUAUGUCAUGUAGCGGUGAAAUGCUUAGAGAUGACAUAGAACACCGAUUGCGAAGGCAGCUUGCUACGCAAAUAUUGACGCUGAGGCACGAAAGCGUGGGGAUCAAACAGGAUUAGAUACCCUGGUAGUCCACGCCCUAAACGAUGAUUACUCGACAUUAGCGAUACACAGUUAGUGUCUGAGCGAAAGCAUUAAGUAAUCCACCUGGGAAGUACGACCGCAAGGUUGAAACUCAAAUGAAUUGACGGGGUCAUAGCUGUUUCCU
rnacentral:rRNA from 1 species